AUGAACGCUGGCGACGUGGAUAAGGCAUGCAAGUCGAGUGGGUUUAGACCCACGGCGAACGAGGUAGUAAUACACAGGAACGUACCCUAGAGUCGGGCAUAAUCAGCCGAAAGGUUGGCUAAUUCCCGAUAGACCCUUGCCGUAAGGCGUAGGGUAAAGUCUCACGACGCUCUGGGAUCGGCCUGUGGGCUAUCAGCUAGUUGGUAGGGUAAUGGCCUACCAAGGCGAUGACGGCUAGGGGGGGUGAGAGCCUGUUCCCCACCGAUGGUACUGCGACACGGACCAUACACCUACGGGUGGCAGCAGCCGAGAAUCUUCCGCAAUGGGCGAAAGCCUGACGGAGCGACGUCGCGUGGUGGAUGAAGUCCUUCGGGACGUAAACACCUUUUAUUGGGGAGAAAACCGCCGUAAGGCGGUGUGAUAGUACCUGAUGAAUAAGGGGUUGCUAAACUCGU
rnacentral:rRNA from 1 species